GGGCGCAUGGUUUAGUGGUAUAAUUCCUCUUUAGCAUCCGAAAGGAGCAAAUUAGAGGCGGUCCCUGGUUCGAUUCCUGGUGUGUCCA